CAUCUUAAAUAAUUAAGAAGAUUAAGCGCAAAAAGAAGAAAUAGAAAUAUGGAAUCAGAUCACCAAUUUAUAAGGAGGGUAUAUGGAUCGAGAGAUAAGAUGGUAUUACCACCUUAAGAAACUCUUGACCAUCAAAUCCGUUACAAUAAUGCAAUGCCAUAAAUCGACAACAACUAGUUAUACUCGAGCGGCAUAUCCGUUACAGUAACGUGCCACCAUAUCUUCACAGCAUGCUGUCAUGCAAUCGUCUAAAUUAAAAUCACUUUCCCCCCGCCGUGCCGUAUUACUGCAAUGCUCCUCACACUCAUCUUCGCAAUUAGGUAAACAAGAUGCGCUUGGAGGAAUUUCAAAAUAGCACAUGACUAAGCUACAGUCUAGAAUUAUAACCAUAGUCAGUAUUACACCAAGUAGAACUUUUCUCUCUCCACCCAUCUCUCUUUGUUUGAUGUUAUAAUUAUACG
rnacentral:lncRNA from 1 species